ACACAUUCUAGAGCCUAAUUCAUUUCAAUUAACAAUUAAAAUUACACUCAAAUCCAAAUUUUGAACCUUAAUGCUAAAGUUCAUCCUCAAAUAAAUUUAUUGUAAUCCAUCACUACUUAAAUAAGCUGCACCUUGAUCUGAUUUUUAAUAUAAUUAUAUAUUAAAAUUAUAUAUUUCCAAAAAUAAUUAACAACGACGAUAUACAAGCAAAAUUAAAGUUUUAUUAAUCGUGGAUUAUCGAUUACAGGACAGAUUCCCCUGAUUGGAAUAAAAAACCGCCAAAUUUUUUGAUUUUAAAGAACAUAACUUAUAUUCAUCAGGUAUAACCUUCAACACCUAGAAUAAUGGGGUAUCUAAUCCCAGUUUAUCAUCCAGAUUUCUUAACCUCACAACCAAAAAUUCAAUUAAAUAAAAAAUAGGAUUUCACCCAAUAUUUCAACAAAAUAAAAAUUCAUUCUUAUUAAUUAAGUAUAUUAACCGAAAAAAAAUAGUAGCAUUAUUUGUCUAACCGCA
rnacentral:rRNA from 1 species